GCCGGGAUGGCGGAAUUGGUAGACGCAGUGGACUCAAAAUCCACCGGUGGCAACGCCUUGGGGGUUCGAUUCCCCCUCCCGGUACCA
rnacentral:tRNA from 2 species